rnacentral:lncRNA from 1 species
GAGCACGGCCUGGAUGUUGGGAUCCUCCUCCUAAGGGGGCUCAGCAGACUCUGGUUGACUGUGACAGCGGUGAUGCCUCCCAUGCCACUGGUCCCACCAUAGCCUCUGCCCAGGCCAGCCCGGAAACUGCUGCUGCCCACUAGGGAGAAGCUCGAAGAGCUGAUGCAGGCACUGGGCCCACUCAUGUAGGAGCGGCAUAGCAGCAUUUUUACAAUAAUCCAACAACCCUGUUGUUCAUUAAUAGCAUAAUUGAGAAAUAUAUUGUGAUAUAUUUAUACGAUGGAAACUAUUCAGCAAUGGGAAUGCCUGAACUACAGCACUAUGAAUCUUAUAGAUUGAGUACAUGAAGCAAGAUACAAAUCACUCCAUUUAUAUAAAUGUAAAAAAAAAAAAAAAAAAAAAAAAAAAAAAAAAACCUAGGCAGCAUAGCCAAACACUGUCUGUACAAAAAUGUAAAAUAAAAUUAGUUAGGUAUGGUAGAGCAUGAGUCCUAGCUACUCAGGAGGCUGAGGUGUGUGGAUCACUUGAACCAGGCUGCAGUGAGUCAUGACAUGACAGAGGGAGACCCUGUCUACUGUCUGUCCCUAUAGAAAAAGAAAAAAUCUCCUGGUAUCUUUUCCUGAAUUUGGCAGACAGGAUGGCCCAAGGAAAUGCAUCAGUGCAGAGGGACAGAAACAGCAGUGUGGCCUGGGAAAGAUACAGGAGUCACAGCUGCCACAGACAGCGAGUUGCAGCGCUUUGCAGGGGACAGCUCAUGGACCCAGGACUGGAGCCCAGAAUGACCAGGGUUCUGGGAGGUAACAGGGAAAAUGGCAGUGGGGUAGGCAGCAUGCCUGUCCCUGAGUCAUUCCCAGGCCUAGGUGUGUGUCUACAGGAUGGACUGUCAGUGGAGGAUAGGGUGCGUUGUAAGGUUGGGGGAGGAGGCAGGACCUCAGGGCAAACUCCUCUGACCCACAAGCCCCAGGCAUUCCAGAUGUCCACACAAAAAUUGGCUCUGAAUUAAAAGGCUGCAAGGUGGGGCUGGCUCUGUCCUAUUUUGAUAUGCUUUGAGGCAUUUGAUAAAGAUGUUAAUGGGAUCAUUCAUAAAUCAGGAAACUAAUCCUCUGAGGUGCUGGUUGUUAAUGAAGCAAGUGAGAAUCAGUAAGAUUAAAUCACAGAUUUCAAAAUCUCAGGCUGGAAUUUAAUCCCAGACCUUGAGUCCAGACUUCAUCUCAAACAGAUGGCAUGGUUCGAAACAUAUCCCGACUGCAGUAGUCACUUGGAAAUGAGUUCCCAGUAGUCCUUGCAGUUCAACCAAAGACUACUCCUGGGAAUGGGGCACGGAAAUGGGACGUCGGGGUGCAGCAAAGGCUUCCUGGAGGUGACCCCAAGGGAGAGUAGCCUAUAGUAGACACUCAUUAAAUAUUGGUAAAACAAAUGGAGUUAGUAGAUGAAGAAAUGGGGGAAGAGCAUUCCAGGCAGAGAUAAUACAGGGCCACCUGGCAGGGUCAAGAAGACUUGGGGCCCCUUGGCAUAUUAAAGUGGGCAGUGGUAGCAGUCUGUCCACAUGCAGGCUAGAAGGGGUGCAUAUCUAUAAAGAGCUUAACAAUAAUAGAUCCAACUAAAAGUUGGUCUGCCUUGUAUUAUUGCUGUGUGCCAGUGAUUUUUAAAUACUGUUGAAAUACUCCUCUCCUAAAAAAUCUUUUGUUGGUUUAAGUUUUAAAUAAUUGCUGUAGAUACUGAAUUUUAUUUGUACAUGUAAACUUCACACUAACCCAUUUUUAUUAGCGAUCCUUUAAUAAAUAUUGCAUUCUAUGUGGAAGUUC